GCUGGGCGUGGUGGCUCAUGCCUGUAAUCCCAGCACUUUGGGAGGCUGAGGCAGGUGGAUCACCUGAGGUCAGGAGUUUGAGACCAGCCUGGCCAACAUGGUGAAAUCCUGCCUCUA
ensembl:misc_RNA Metazoa_SRP Metazoan signal recognition particle RNA